UGUAGCUUGCGCCAGAAUGCUGCAAUGGCACCUACAAAGAACUUGCAGGGGAUUUGCAAUAGCUUUCGUUACCUAGUUCCUACUUGGCAGUUUCCUGCUUGGAGGCUUCUUCGAAAGACUCUCCUUCUACUAACUCCGGCACAUCAUCGUCUUCCUCCUCUGCAAUUCCUCCGAGAUUAUCCUUUUUCUGGUACUGCUCAGCAAGCUUCUUCAAUUGCGCUAAGUUCAUCUUUUCAGGUCCUAGCUGAUUAAUGAUACUGGGCAAGAUAUCUUGAAGCUUCUUCGUCUGAGAAGGUCCACUCACCACCCACGUGUUGGC
rnacentral:lncRNA from 1 species